UACGUAGGGUGCGAGCGUUAAUCGGAAUUACUGGGCGUAAAGCGUGCGCAGGCGGUUUUGUAAGCCAGAUGUGAAAUCCCCGGGCUUAACCUGGGAACUGCAUUUGUGACUGCAUGGCUGGAGUGCGGCAGAGGGGGAUGGAAUUCCGCGUGUAGCAGUGAAAUGCGUAGAUAUGCGGAGGAACACCGAUGGCGAAGGCAAUCCCCUGGGCCUGCACUGACGCUCAUGCACGAAAUCGUGGGGAGCAAACAGG
rnacentral:rRNA from 1 species